CAUGACCGAACAGGUGAAAGCAAGCGACCGCAUGGUUCCACCAAGGGGCUGGCACACAACCUUGAGCUCAGCAAGAAACGCUGGUUCUCCAUACGGAGGUUUUGGAUGUGGCGUCGGCGAGUAAGAGCAAAAUCUUGUUUCUUUUUCACACAGAGAAAUGGCGUCAAACACAAAAGACGUCCGGUCCAUUCCAGCUCCUUCUGCAACCGCCAAGGCGAUGUCAAAAUCAGUUUGGAAAUACAAGGAGAAGUAGGCAGGGACAGAAACAUUUCAGAAACCCCGCCAGAGAAAGAGAACGGGGAAACAUCAGGUGUUUUGGAAGGUGGGGAACUUAAAGGAAGUGGUGGAGAAGUGUGUCAACCUGCUUUAGCAUCCACCUCGAACUCCACCAACCGCCCUCAGACCCCGGACAGCGGCGGCUCUACAAAGAGGCAGGGGAGUGGGGUAGGGUGCACUGACAAAAAUAUGAGGAUUGCUGUCCAUCAGGAGCCUUGGAGGGAUCCUGUCUGUCCGCAGGAAACCUGUACCCCUCUGGGUGCAGAGCUGGUGACGGAGGGAAAGACUAGCACCAGAACCAGCCCAAGCCCUGUCUGUCAGAGCCUGCCAGGGCUUGGGGUGUCGUCUGACAGCCAUCUGCAACCUGUUGUCCCCCACAAGGCUUUGAGCUUGACCAUUAUGGAGUUUCUCGACGGCUUUUCUAAAGUCUACGGGAGUUUGAUCCCACUGCAAUCGUGUGACAUUGUCCGAAGCUUGAGGGCGCAUGAUUUGGAUGACAGAAAAAGGUAUGUGCGCUCACGUGGGUCUGUAAAGUACACACAAGGGCCGUCACUGGGGUUCCCAUUCCCCUGAGAUCUUAUCUUGAAGAGCUGGGAGCGCCUGAAAGAAUAAACCAGAAUAGCCUAUCAUUGCAUGAUUGGUAUGCAGCCGGGAUACCUAGGCUAUAGCAAGCUACGUGUCAU
ensembl:lncRNA